rnacentral:rRNA from 2 species
AAAACUUUCAACAAUGGAUCUCUUGGUUCCGGCAUCGAUGAAGAACGCAGCGAACUGCGAUAAGUAAUGUGAAUUGCAGAAUUCAGUGAAUCAUCGAGUCUUUGAACGCACAUUGCGCCCCCUGGCAUUCCGGGGGGCAUGCCUGUUCGAGCGUCAUUACAACCCUCAAGCUCUGCUUGGUAUUGGGCAUCACCGGCCUCGGCGUGCCUCAAAAUCAGUGGCGGCGCCGCUCGGCUCCAAGCGUAGUAAUACUCCUCGCUUCCGGACGUCGGGUGUGUGGCUGCCAGCAACCCCCAACAUAUCAAGGUUGACCUCGGAUCAGGUAGG